UGACGGCCUACCAAAAGGCAAAAGGACUCCUGUGGAGAUGGGGUCUAGGAUUAAAACCAGAGAACCAGAAGAACUGCUGAGUGCCUCUACUGCAGCCCAGCCUAUUGAAUUGGACCUUCGGGACCUACACAGGACCUGCUGUGUAUCCAAGACCAAGAAAACAUCCCGUCAGGAACAAUAGAGCACCAGCAUGUUCUUCAGCACCGUCCUGUCUCUCUCUACUGGACUCCGCUACCAGCCACCAGCAUGACUUCCACACUUCAUCGGUUUCUCUCUCUACUCUGCCACCGCUGCCAUCCAGAGGGAGGUACAGGACAGUCGGGCAGGCUGACUGUGUGGAGGAAGUACAGCAGGACCUCCACUACCAGUUGUAGUGUUGCUGGACGGGAGAAUAACGUCUGGG
rnacentral:lncRNA from 1 species